UGAAAGGGAAACGAUUGAAGUCAGUCGUACCGACGAGAAAUCAACUUAUCGUGUGCGAACUUGUGGGCGUGCGUGAGUUUCGNCCUCGCUGUUUGCAUGUUUGUGCGUNUNGGGUGUNCUUUUUCGUAUGGUAGGCCAACGUCAGUUUCGAUUAUCAUAAAAUGACCGGCGGAAUGUAGCUUCGAUUUCGGUUGAAGUGUUAUAGCCUCUGGUAGAUGUGGUGAUUGAGACUGAGGAUUGCAACGAAUACCCUUUGGGCUAUCCGUCUGGCCUCUGAAA
rnacentral:rRNA from 1 species